GCCGAGAUGGUGGAAUUGGUAGACACGUCAGACUCAAAAUCUGGUGCUGGCAACAGUGUGAGGGUUCGAGUCCCUCUCUCGGUA
rnacentral:tRNA from 15 species